rnacentral:misc_RNA from 1 species
AUGGUACCAUAACUUGCUAAAACUUAAAGUAUGAUGUGUAAAUUAUCCUGAUACUAUCAGGCGGCUGCCAAGAUAUAGCUAAUCUUCAGGAACAUGGUUAAUAUGUCCAAACUGGGGGAGUGUCAUCAAAUGGAUACAUGAAGUGGUUUUUUAUUUCUGCUUGGAUAGUUACGUAUUCUGAAGUCAGUCAAAUGUUUAUGGCUUGUUUUAGAACGAGUUUCAAAAAUCUUUUUCUUCUUAAAAUCCAUACCCCGUCAAACAUUUUGCCCCACAUAAAUUAGGAUGGAG